UACGUAGGGGGCAAGCGUUGUCCGGAAUCAUUGGGCGUAAAGAGCGUGUAGGCGGCUUGGUAAGUCCGCUGUGAAAGUCCAGGGUUCAACCCUGGAAAGCCGGUGGAAACUGUCAAGCUUGAGUCCGGAAGAGGCGAGUGGAAUUCCUGGUGUAGCGGUGAAAUGCGCAGAUAUCGGGAAGAACACCCGUGGCGAAGGCGGCUCUCUGGGACGGUACUGACGCUGAGACGCGAAAGCGUGGGGAGCGAACAGG
rnacentral:rRNA from 1 species